UACAGAGGUGCCGAGCGUUAGGCGGAAUCACUGGGCUUAAAGCGCGUGUAGGUGGAUCGUUAAGUGUCUUGUGAAAUCCCACGGCUCAACCGUGGAACUGCUGGGCAUACUGACGAUCUUGAGGCACUCAGGGGCUGUCGGAACAAAUGGUGGAGCGGUGAAAUGCGUAGAUAUCAUUUGGAACGCCAAUGGUGAAAACAGACAGCUGGGGGUGUCCUGACACUGAGACGCGAAAGCUAGGGGAGCGAACGGG
rnacentral:rRNA from 1 species